AGGAACACAAUGUCUUCAACCGUGUUAGUGUGUCUGCUGGGAUCUUUAGCCAUGUACUAUCAGGUUUCUGCCGAUGGGACGUCCUACAAUGCUGAUAUGUUGGUGGAAAAUAAUGUCACAGUACAAGCACGGAGCAUCCUGUCAGUUUUGAAUGCGAGAAGCUACCUCCAGCUGAUC